CAGAACAAACACCUGUUUCAGGAAGCUUUCGAGAGUUCUGGAAAUAAUCUGGGACAAAUGUGAUUAGAAGUUGUUGGUAAGGAAAGGACAACAAGAAGAGACCAUGACUUUCUGCAUGUCUAGCAGAGGAACAUCAAAACCUGGGCACUAAAAAGUACUCUGAACAGAGGAUUCUGAAUGUGUGCAACUUGUGUUUGGAUGGAGACAGCAUAUAGUCCCUGGUGGGAGUGAACUGAAUCCAUGUGGGAAAUAUCUUGGGAGCAAGGACAGAAGUGGAUGACUAUCACCAUCACCACAUUCCUCCAGAAGCUUAGGAAGAAAAGAGCUCUGAAAGGAGCUAUGUGGUUAUAAGUGUUCAUUUUGUUAAACAAAAGACUGAUGAGAUUAAGGUGUUGACACUAAUAUGUUAACAGAGGUUAUCUCUAGAAGAAGAGGAUAUUCAAUACAUCUACAAGAUGCUCUUCUCCCCUGAGUGAUUGAUGAGGAAUAAUUAAUGAAUACAAUGCCAGUAAUUUUGACUCUGAGGUAAAACCAGCAUACAAGCCAACAUUCUCUAGCCUCAUUUGCUUGAGUGGUAUUGCUCUAAUCUACAACAAAAGGAAAGUCUUCUGGCUUCCUCGAACUGGAAGUCCUCCAGUGUGCCAUCUGAAGCACUUAGCACCCUCCAAUUCUUUGUUGGUGUUUUAUAUGAUCAACAACAGAAACAAAUCUUCCAUUAAACCUCUGUGAGUGUGUCACUAUGGUGACACUAAACAAAAGGAAAUCAAAGUCCUCUAAAUUUGAAUAAACCAGAUAUGCAAAGACAGAUACCAGUAAUUAUAAAAAUUGAAGAACUGCAUCCUGGACAAAGCUAAGCAAAGGAAACAGUCAAGGCAACAGUAUCCCAGAGUAAAGCUUCAAGGCAGCUAAGGACAUGAUUUUCAGGGAGGUCUACACAUCACUCAAUCUCCACAGCCUCAAGUGGGAGAAAGCUUGCGGGUAGGCAAGUGGAUGGGCUGGCCUGCCCAUUAUUUUCCUCUUUUCUCUUUCUUUACUCUCCUCCUACAAUUUUUCUUCUAAUACAUACACAGAUCAAUCCAAUCAGCUUCAAAAUGAA